UACAGAGGGUGCGAGCGUUACUCGGAAUUACUGGGCGUAAAGCGUGCGUAGGUGGUUUGUUAAGUCUGAUGUGAAAGCCCUGGGCUCAACCUGGGAAUUGCAUUGGAUACUGGCAGGCUAGAGUGCGGUAGAGGGUAGUGGAAUUCCCGGUGUAGCAGUGAAAUGCGUAGAGAUCGGGAGGAACACCGGUGGCGAAGGCGGAUCUCUGGGCCUUACCUGACGCUCAGGCACGGAAAGCUAGGGGAGCGAACAGG
rnacentral:rRNA from 1 species